rnacentral:lncRNA from 1 species
GGUUUGCAAAUAAACUUCCCAGCCAUUUCCAGUCAACAAUUGCCAUCCAAGCAGUUGAAGCUGGUCCUUCAUUAAUCAGCCUCCCAGUUUGCCUGAGGCUUGCUCUAAUUGAUUUAUUGCAGAGCUCCUGUUCUCUAGGAAUCAUAAAUAACAGAAAUUUACAAAAUUUAACUCCAACAUGUCAAUGCAAUUUUCAGUGGUUUUCCGAUUCUUUAUGGUUUAGCAAUGUGCAGGGGCACAGCAGUACACUCAAACCUCCUGAUGCAUGCAAGAAGGCAAGCAGCUCUCUGUUUUACACACCCUGAUCUAAGUAUUUGGGAGAAGACAGUUUUUUAUAAGAUACACAUUUUGUGCUAUGGUCUGGUUCCCAGAUCAGUCCUUAGACCAUUACAAGCCAUUCUCAAGGAUGUCAAUGAAGCUGGCUGGCUUAGUAGCACUACAAGCUGAUUUAUAAUUUAGUUUCCAUGGGCUGCAAGGCUUCUAAAGUUACUGUCACAUGUAGCUCCUGAGCAAACACCUGAGAAUGCUAUUCCCCUAAAGCCACUUAAGGCAAGGAAGGCCCUUGCUCAGCUCUUUGCUCACACCCUUUUAUGCAGAUAUGGGCAGGUGAUGCUGGGGAGCUUUGAGUGAGUGCAGCUGGGACUCCCUCUCACCUGCACUGUUUGCAGGAAUCCCUGCAGGUUCUGUUCUUGCCUUGCUCACCUCAUUGCUGCUGCUGCAAGGCUUGCCAGGGACACUGGUACUUGCUAGUGAAUCACUGAGGGAGAUGGAGCAAAAGCAUCACCUGAAGAGCCAACACCGUGUUUGCACAGCUCAUCAGAGGGAGCUGAAGCAUGAGGCUGGAGAAGACCUCCAUGGUCACUGGCUUAUGUCUUCCCCAGCAACAAACCAUACCAUGGAAACUCUCCUGCAAACAGGUCAAGCUUCUCACGGAAUCAGCUGGAUUUUAGCCACAGGCAGAUACCCCCUCCCAUUACCCCUGGCCUCCCAACGCAGCCUGCAGGUCGGUGUGAAGAAGUGAGCACCAUGGGAGGGAAGAUAUAAAAACCAUCCAUUUUCAAUGUGUUGGAAUUGUCCACUUUGAAGAAGCUGAUACAGCAGCUCUCUACAUCUUUCCAGUCAAAAGAUGCUUACAUUCAACAUAAUUGCAAACACAGGCUCAGCCUGCUCAUUAAUCACCACCUAAGAACAUGGCACCAAGCAGAUGUAGUGCUGAAAUAAGAGACUGCAUCCUGAAGCAGAAGAGUGGAAGAAAUAGUGCUGCAAGGAGAGAGGGAGCAGAUCAGUAGAUCAAGGGCUGGAGCAUUCCAGAAAUGAAGAGACAACUGGGAGAGACUCAGAGAAGUUUGGUUUUUAUCAGUCAAGUGAGCUACAAAAGUGAAGAUGAGCUACUUUUCAUUUCACAGGAUCAAAAGCACAGCAUUUGUUUAGAAGUGUACACUGAAAUAAAAAAAGAGAAACCUGGUUAUCA